rnacentral:rRNA from 1 species
UACAGAGGUCUCAAGCGUUGUUCGGAUUCAUUGGGCGUAAAGGGUGCGUAGGUGGCGCGCUAAGUCAGGUGUGAAAUCUCGGAGCUUAACUCCGAAACUGCAUUUGAUACUGGUGUGCUUGAGGACUGGAGAGGAGACUGGAAUUCACGGUGUAGCAGUGAAAUGCGUAGAUAUCAGUCGGAACACCAGUGGCGAAGGCGGCUUCUUGGGCCAUUACUGACGCUGAGGCGCGAAAGCCAGGGGAGCGAACGGG